GCUCAGGACGAACGCUGGCGGCGUGCUUAACACAUGCAAGUCGAACGGAAAGGCCCUUCGGGGUGCUCGAGUGGCGAACGGGUGAGUAACACGUGGGUGAUCUGCCCUGCACUUUGGGAUAAGCCUGGGAAACUGGGUCUAAUACCGGAUAGGACCACGGUCUGCAUGGAUUGUGGUGGAAAGCUUUUGCGGUGUGGGAUGGGCCCGCGGCCUAUCAGCUUGUUGGUGGGGUGAUGGCCUACCAAGGCGACGACGGGUAGCCGGCCUGAGAGGGUGACCGGCCACACUGGGACUGAGAUACGGCCCAGACUCCUACGGGAGGCAGCAGUGGGGAAUAUUGCACAAUGGGCGCAAGCCUGAUGCAGCGACGCCGCGUGAGGGAUGACGGCCUUCGGGUUGUAAACCUCUUUCAGCACAGACGAAGCGCAAGUGACGGUAUGUGCAGAAGAAGGACCGGCCAACUACGUGCCAGCAGCCGCGGUAAUACGUAGGGUCCGAGCGUUGUCCGGAAUUACUGGGCGUAAAGAGCUCGUAGGUGGUUUGUCGCGUUGUUCGUGAAAACUCACAGCUUAACUGUGGGCGUGCGGGCGAUACGGGCAGACUGGAGUACUGCAGGGGAGACUGGAAUUCCUGGUGUAGCGGUGGAAUGCGCAGAUAUCAGGAGGAACACCGGUGGCGAAGGCGGGUCUCUGGGCAGUAACUGACGCUGAGGAGCGAAAGCGUGGGGAGCGAACAGGAUUAGAUACCCUGGUAGUCCACGCCGUAAACGGUGGGUACUAGGUGUGGGUUUCCUUCCUUGGGAUCCGUGCCGUAGCUAACGCAUUAAGUACCCCGCCUGGGGAGUACGGCCGCAAGGCUAAAACUCAAAGGAAUU
rnacentral:rRNA from 1 species